AUGCUUCAGAGGAGGCAAAUGGAGAGACUGCCUGCACUGCACCUGGCAGUGGUGUCUCUGCUCGGAUUCUGCUGCCUCAUCCAUGCUUCAAGGGCUGCGAUCUCAUUCCCACCUGCGGCCCCGAGGGUGCAGCUGCAGGAGACCGACGCUAUCCUAGCUUCCAGUGGAGCAGAUGGUCAGGCGGUCGUAGUGGGGGAACCCGACCGCGGCGGUGUCAGCAGGAGGAUGGAGAUGCAGAUGGAGGUGGAGGACUACCCGGGCUCCGGGGCCAACGACCACCACUCGCCGUGGCGGCGGCAAGAGAGGAGGAACUGA
rnacentral:rRNA from 1 species